GGCGCAGGGACAUGGGGGCGCCACAUGGGGUCGGGAAGACAGUUGCGGCGGAUUUCGUUUUUUCAAGUCCGUUCGCUGCAUUCCCAGCCCGGUGUCGUGCCGAGGCAGCAAGGGGGCGC
rnacentral:precursor_RNA from 15 species